UUGUCAUAAUGAGAGAAACAAGAAUAGAAGAGAAAGAGGCAACUUUGGAGGAGAAGAACAAGCUUAAAGAUUUCAUCCAUGGUGUCAAAUUGGAGAUGCAUUUGGAGACCCAUUAAGUUGUUUCCAUUGAUAAGGUAUUCAAGUAUGAAGAUUUAGUUGCCAUUACUCGAGUCGAUUGUCGCUCUGAUACGUAGCACUCUGGGGGGAACGAUUUAUGUCAUUCAUGAUGUUGUUGUUUAAUUGUGUUAUCUUUGUUGAACAAAAUGAUAAGUUAACUAAAGAUAUUUUAUUGAAUACUUGUUUAAGUGAUUCCGCUGUGUUUUAAUAAAAUAAGUUAUUCUGUUUCAAAUGUGCUAUGUAUCCGCUUUAUGCGACGAGCUGAUUUGUUUUGUUUUAUUAUGUGACACCUCAAUUGUUUAUUGAGAAAUCUUGAAAACUCUGAUUUAUAUAUAUUUGUCGGGUAGAAAUGGGGUGUUACAUUAGUGGUAUCAGAGCAGGUCGGUCCGUCCGGCCAAGUUGUCGAGUCUGUUGAGUUGUACGACAGUUGAAUGCUGUCAGUGUUUUAGUCUUUAGUACACGACAUGUGUAUGAAACACUGUCGGUACUUGUUUGUUUUGUUGCAGGAAUUGGUUUGAUUACAAGUGGGGGAGAAGUUUUACUUCUUGAAGAUGUUUCUGUUGUAAGGGAUGGUCAAGUAUGCUGAGUGGCGAUGUUCAGCACGGUUGAGGACUGAGAACGUGUCGGUGUGUUUAACCUUUGCGUCUGAUGCCGGUGUUUGACAAGUGUUAAAGUGAUAAAGCUGCGGUAGACUUUAUGUUAGACUCGCAUAAGUGAUUAAUGGACGUAGUCGAUGUGUGAAGUGUUGUGAAUCGCAAAUCCGAGUUGGAACUCGAGAAUGCGCGUAGCUUGAGUUUCAGAUACCUAAAGUGAACUCCAUUUAAAGCGUCAGAGAGAUAACGAGAUGAAGUGGAUUAUAAGAAUUAUUGUCGCAGCCGUAAUAGAUUUGAUUUUAACGUGAUGAUGUUGGGAUGGGGUGCAGUUUGUCGUCGAAGUUAUUUGAGGAGUUUGGGAGAUAACAUAAAAAUUGUCGAUGCUUGACGUCGAUGUUUACAAUUCUAAUAACGUCAUAGAUUUGUAUCUUGGGUUUCGAGUAUCAUUUGGACGUACCGUUCGAGCCUACGAAGAGGUGAAGUUGUAUUCUACCUUAUGGAAAUGUCUAAGCCUGUUGAAUAAGAAUGCUUAUUACCGCAAAUUUCUGAAGUGAAGUUAAGUAGAACUUAUUGUUGAUGAUUAAGAUGAGAGAACAAGUUGUUCGGUAUUAAAGAUGAUUUGAGUAUUGAUGACUUUUAAGGAAGAGUGAAGUAGUAGCGAAGAAAAAGUCAGACUUAGGGAUGAUAGAAGUCGUAUUUGGGAUGCUAAAAGUGGCGGUGUGCAUAAAAGAAGGGUUGUAUGGAAUUUCUAUUGCCAGUUUAUCAUGAGGAGGACUUCGGUUGAGACGAAACAAAUUAUGUGAUGCUAAGUGAUUAUGAAUCAGACUUUUGUAUUAUGUUUGGAUGUCGGUGUCUCAUCGACAAGAUCGAUUGAUAAGGUAAGAUGAUGUAGGAGUUGUGAAAACCCAAAGUGAAUAAUUGGAUUACGUCGUGUUAAUGGAUUUAAGUGGAAAUUCGGAAAGAACGCUAUUAUGAUGUAACAACGAUUUAUACUCCACUAAGUUUGUCGGAUACUAAUUGGCAAAUUGGGGAACUGAUCACCCUCAAUCUAUUGUUAAUGGUAGACGAAACUCGUGUUGGACGUUAUAGAUUUGUCUUGUUGUCUUAAUAGUGUAGAAAGAGUAUCUAUAUUUUAUCGUGAAGAUAGCCGCCCAUCAGUUUGUGUAGCUUGGUAAGAGGGAUGGUUGAGUUAGAAUUAGAUGAGAUUAACAAUCGGUGUGCUACGUUUUAUGCAAGAGAGUUUCACAAAGUGAAAUAUUCGAAAUAUCAAAUGAACAACGAUGUGAGGAUGAGUAUUGAAGGGAAGUCUAUUUUGAAUUGAGAAAUUGUGAAUCAUAUAAGUUGACAGUAUUUAAUCAAGAAUGGUGACUUAAAAGAGAAUUAUCAGAGUUGAGCAGCGGAAGCCUUAGGUGACACUGUUGUUGCAAGGCUUGAGGGAAUACGAAACUAUAUGCCAGAAGACGGUAAAGAUGAGUUAUCUUGAUAUUUGGAUUGAUGGACUGUUGGAAUAAGUGUGAUGCGCCAAAAUACUGCAUUGAGUCGUUGAUUAUUGCAAAACUGGUAAGAACUGUAAUGUGUUUAUGUUCAUGAGAAUCGUUGUUGUGACGAAGAGGUAGCGAUCGAAGUGUUACCAAGCGCGAUUUGGAGAUUGGAGAUUUGGAUACGAGGUUUGUGUUUAGAUGGUGUUGAGCGAAUUUUCGAGGACGAAAAUAUUCUAAGUGGGGGAGAGUUGUAACACCCCGAAUUUAAUUAAAUUGGUUAAUUAAAUUAUUGAAGGAUUUAAAUAUUUGAUUUAGUCGAAAUUGAAUUGUCGGUGUUAUUUAAGGGCGUAUUUAGAAUUAUAUAAAUCGAAGUCGGAUAGUCAGAAAAUAAUAUUAAGAAUAACAUUAUUUACAAGUCGGAAUUUAUUAUAUUAUUGGAAUAUUAUUAAAGGCGAUAUAAUUGAUUAUUUGAGUUAUUUAGUCUUAUUGGGCCUAAAUUAGUUUGUGAAGGAUAAUAAAAAGGAGGUGAAAGACUAAGCCCAAUUCCAACUAUUAAAUUAGGGUUUUAGAGAUGAGAAGAGUAUUGUCAUAAUGAGAGAAACAAGAAUAGAAGAGAAAGAGGCAACUUUGGAGGAGGAGAAGAACAAGCUUAAAGAUUUCAUCCAUGGUGUCAAAUUGGAGAUGCAUUUGGAGACCCAUUAAGUUGUUUCCAUUGAUAAGGUAUUCAAGUAUGAAGAUUUAGUUGCCAUUACUCGAGUCGAUUGUCGCUCUGAUACGUAGCACUCUGGGGGGAACGAUUUAUGUCAUUCAUGAUGUUGUUGUUUAAUUGUGUUAUCUUUGUUGAACAAAAUGAUAAGUUAACUAAAGAUAUUUUAUUGAAUACUUGUUUAAGUGAUUCC